rnacentral:lncRNA from 1 species
CCUAAUCUCUCUUGCGAUUUUAUUAUGGUAUCAGAGAGGAUUUAGGGUUUCAAUUUUAACAUCACUUUACAAACCACGUCUAUUCAUAGGGUUUUCUGUUGGCAAAUCUACGAUUUCUAUCUGAUAUUUGGUUCAUUUCAAUCUCUACUCAUUCUGCCUAUCUGUUUGAUUGUUGGUCAUUUUGCGAAACAAGCAAUACACAAAUAUUUCAUCCCCCCUGUUAAACUUGAUCCUCAUCCUGUGUGUCCAUCACGGAUUAUUUUGUUUCUGACUCUAGCUGUUACAUCUACUUAAGGAUGUGAUGCAACCUAUUUAAUUAGGAAGAAAAAUGGGGGGAUAGACCUGAUGUUACGAGGUGCUUCGGAUCCCUGAUCGUAAAUCAAGGAUAUCCUAAGCUCAGAUGUCGAAGAUAUACUCCUGAAAUCAAGGCUGAGUUCUCCCGGUGAUUAGCUGUUAAGCUGACCGACAGAAUGCUUGAUACGGCGAGAUCAGUGGGCUGAUCGGACGGAGAGCGGCGGCGGCGGUAGGGUGAUCGGAGGUGAACUCGACCUGGGUCGGAAUGGAGGCCGUUGCUGGAGAUUUGACAGCAAAACGGUUCUUGAUUGAUUUCUUAAUUAAUUUUCAUAAAUCUUUCAUUACAAUCCUUUAUACUAUAGGACGAAAUUAAAAUAAACUAACAAGUUAAGGUCUUUCAGCAAAUAACCCCUUUAACCAUUUUAAAGAUUAAUUCAGCUAUUGGGACGAGUCCAUCACGAAGUCUUUAGUCCAGCCUGGUGCCCUCCUCUCUCGAGCCGGUCUAGAGCUGGUUAGACCCGGUUCUUCCCCAAACGGCCUCAGACCUCCGCCUCCCCCAAUUUCUGAAAUUAGGUCGUCGGACCUCUGCUCCUCCUCACGUCGGCGACGCUCCAGCCACUCCUCCGUUAAAUCUCCAGUCUCCAGUAAUGACGUAUCAUCUCCACCUCCUUCGAAAACGACCUUGUCCUCAAGGUUGAUUGUUGGAAAUGCCACCUUGACAUCGUCCACCGCUUCCCAAGAAGAAUCCUCUGCUAGAGCUCCGUUCUACAACAACAACACUUAUUUGAUCGCACGUUUUCCCUUCCAGACCGUCCUGUGAUCUAAAAUAGCAGUAGGGAACAUUAAUGGUUGAUUAUUUACUGCAAUAAGCAGUUCUGAUUUUGCAGGUUGCUCUGGAAUUGGGCCACAGAAUUUUUUAAGCUUGGACACAUGGAAUGAGGGAUGGAUUCGGCUUCCUUCAGGUAAUUUUAGUUUGUAAGCUACCUGGUUGAUUUUCUGAAUAAUUUCGUAGGGUCAAAGAAUUUUUUUCCGAGUUUGUUAUGCAUCCUAUUGGCGACAGAAUUUUGCCUAUAGGGCUUUAACUUCACCAGCACCCAAUCCUCUUCUUGAAACAGUACUUCCAGUCGCUUUUUAUUUGCUUGUUUCUUCAUUCUUAAUUGGGCAGCCUCUAGAUUUUUCUUAAUGCUGGACAGAGUUUUCUCCCUAACUUGCAAUGAUAUAUCAACAACCUCUAUUUGUGAACUGCCUUGUUCAUAUGCAGGAAUUUCAUUUGAUUCUUUUCCAUAUAGUGCCUUGAAUGGUGUCAUACCCAAUGAGGAAUGAAAGCUAGAAUUAUACCAAAUCUCUGCCCACGGCAGUAAUGAUAACCAUUUUCUUGGUUCUUCAUGACAAUAGCUUCUCAGAUACAUCUCAAGAAUUCUAUUCACCACCUCAGUUUGCCCGUCAGAUUGGGGAUGAUAUGCUGAAGAGUAAUGGAGCUUAGUUCCACUCAGUUUAUGGAGUUCUCUCCAAAAUUUAGAGGUGAACACUUUGUCUCUAUCUGAGACUAUGGUGGAUGGUAUUCCAUGCAAUUUGAUGAUGUCCUUGGUAAACAUUUCAACUACUUUGACUGCAUUAAAAUUUGGAGGAAGAGGGCUGAAAUGGGCAUAUUUUAUGAGCCUAUCCACCACCACCAUUAUCACAGAGUACCCUUCAACUUUGGGUAAUUCCACAAUGAAAUCCAUACUAACAUCUUGCCAAACCUUUGAGGGUAUUGGUAGUGGCAUUAAAAGACCAGAUGAUCUUUGAUUCACUGGAUUCAUCUGUUGGCAAAUCAUACACUUGGCCACAUAGUCUUUAAUCAACUUCCCCAUCCCAUGCCAAUAGAAAUACUUGGCAAUUCUCUUCCAAGUCCUAUGCACACCCGCAUGCCCUCCAAGAUGGGAGUCAUGGAAAAAUUCUAAAUUUUUUGCAAUUAAUAUGGAAUUUGAUUUAACAUAGUACCUACCUUUAUAGUAUAAAGUUCCAUUUCUGACCAGAAACCCAUUAUACUCUUGUCCUUCAGCCGCAUAUUUGCUGACCAACCUUUGCACUUCUACAUCUUCUUUAUUUUCUUCUUUCAAUUCUUCAAAAAUAGUAUAGACUAAGGUUGAAAAUGCUAGCAGGGAACUUGGGGAUCCUUCAAAAUUGCUGGAAAAAAUAAUCUCUUCUUUGUCUUCCUCGAAGGAUUUAGAUAGAGCAUCUGCCACAAUGUUCUCCUUUCCUGGCUUAUAAAUGAUGGAAAAAUCAAAUCCUAAUAAUUUGCACAAAAACACUUGCUAUUCUGGGGUUUGUAUCACUUGAGUUAAUAGAUUUUUAAACUCUUGUGAUCGGUUCUUAUAAUGAAGUGAGAACCCAAUAGAUAGUGCCUCCAUGUACCCACAACUUGGGUAAUUACAUACAUCUCCUUCACAUAAAUGGAGGCAGCACUCAUCUUUCCUGAAAUCAUACAACUAUAGAAGGAUAUAGGGUGGCAUUCCUGAAUAAGUACAACCCCUACUCCACUUUUGCAAGCAUCUGUCUUAAUGGUGAAUUGCUUAGAAAAAUCAGGAAAUCCCAAAACUGGGGCAGUGAUCAUUGCUGAUUUGAGUUUUUCAAAUUUCCUUGUAGUCUCCCCCCUGUCCAAACAAAGUUGUCCUUCUUCAAUAGGUCAGUCAUAGGUGAAGCAAUCUGGGCAUACCCUUUUACAAACCUUCUAUAAUAGCCAGUCAGACCUAGAAACCCUCUGAGCUUCUUUAAUGUGUUGGGUAUAGCCCAAUCUACCAUAGCCUUCACCUUUUCAGGAUCAGGAUGAACCCCGUUUGAUUCAAUUAUAUGCCCCAAGAAGCCAAUAGAAUUCUGCUCAAAGGAACACUUGGAGAGUUUGGCCAAUAAUUGAUUUUCUCUGAGUGUCUGAAAACAAGCUUGAGACGUUGAAUGUGGUCAUCUAGUGAAGCACUAAACACCAAAAUAUCAUCAAAAAAUAUCAGGACAAAUUUCCUUAGGUAUUUCUCAAAAACUAUAUUCAUGACAGACUGAAAUGUGGCUGGGGCAUUAGUGAGCCCAAAUGGCAUCACUAGGAACUCGAAGUGCCCUUGAUGAGUUCUAAAAGCAGUCUUUUCUGUAUGAGAUGGGUGAACUCUGAUCUGAUGGAACCCUGACCUAAGAUCCAGUUUUGAAAAUAUCACUGCUCCUCGACCUAGGUCGGAAUGGAGGCCGUUGCUGGAGAUUUGACAACAAAACGGUUCUUGAUUGAUUUCUUAAUUAAUUUCUAUAAAUCCUUCAUUACAAUCCUUUAUACUAUAGGACGAAAUUAAAAUAAACUAACAACUUAAGGUCUUUCAACAAAUAACCCCUUUAACCAUUUUAAAGACUAAUUCAGCUAUUAGGCCAAGUCCAUCACGAAGUCUUUAGUCUAGCCUGGUGCCCUCCUCUCUCGAGCCGGUCUAGAGCUAGUUAGACCCGGUUCUUCCCCAAACGGCCUCAGACCUCCGCCUUCCCCAAUUUCUGAAAUUAGGUCGUCGGACCUCUGCUCCUCCUCACGUCGGCAACGCUCCAGCCACUCCUCCGUUAAAUCUCCAGUCUCCAGUAAUGACGUAUCAGGAUGCAAAAAAAGUCCGAUAUUCGACGAACUAUUCGUUUCGAGUUCAGUUCGGUUAAUUAAAUAAACCGAAUCAAAACCUAAGAGUGGGCUCGUUUAUUUAAAUGAACCGAAUACGGUAGGCUCGGUUAACAUCAUUUAAAAUUUAUGAUUUUUGAAAACAAUUAAAUAAUUAAACACACACAUAUAUAUUACUUAUAGUUAAUAUUUUCAACGCGUGUCUUUAAAAUUCUGUGCCUAGUAAUCGACGCAGAAUCUCCAGAAGCCAUUUUUCUUUCGAAUUAAUAAUAUCGGCGAUUAAUAUAUAGGGCCCUGCACUUUCUUUGAUUAAUCAAUACUCGAGCUAUUUUUAGAUAAUUAGUCAUUUACUAUAAAUUCAUCUUGUACGUAAUUGACUUUUUGAACUUACUUUUGCUUAAUACCAAAAACUUUAUGAAAUCUCUUUUUCCCAAUCGUUGCAUCUUUUCGUCUGUCAUUCCCUUCCGGUGAUCAUGCAUCGUGGGAUCUUGUGGCAGAGAAAUCUCUUCUCUUUAAUAUUGGUUACUUAUCAUAUUCUUUGCUUACUUAUCUUAUUCUCAUUCAUUUAAACCCCUAAUCUCUCUUGCAAUUUUAUUAUGGUAUCAGAGUGGGUUUAAGGUUUCGAUCUCAACAUCACUUUACCAGCUGCAUCUAUUCACAUGGUUUCUUGUUGGGAAAUCUGCGAUUUCUAUCUGGUAUUUGUUUCAUUUCAAUCUCUACUCAUUCUGCCUAUCUGUUUGAUUGUUGGUCACUUUGUGACACAAGCAAUACACAAAUAUUUCAUUUCCACCCCUUUUUAAGGUAUUUUCUUUCUUUCUUUUUCGUAUUUAUUGAUCUUUCUUUUUAGGUAUUUU